UUGAGCUGCAACUUGCCUCAGUUUCCAGCUUGCCAGCCUCCUUCACCAGACUUUGGACUUACCAAACCUCCACAAUCAUACCCCUUCCUCUGCUACUCGGAAAUAAAUCAGGCUCCAGGAGGAGUCCUACCUCCAGUCCUGCUACCCAAGUCCAUGGAUAAGAGGACACACACACCUUUUCUUCAAGCCGUGUGGCUGACAGGGUCUUGGUUCCUGGGCCUGGUGUCAGGCAUCAGCCUCCAAGGUGGGAAAUCCGAGUUCAGGACAUUGCACCACCACAGACCUUCCAGCCCUAUGUAGUAUCAAUCUGCGAGAGCUCUCCCAGAGAUCUCCAGCUCAACACUGAGACCCAACUCCACCCAACGGCCAGCAAGCUCCAGUGCUGGACACCCCAUGCCAAACACCUAGCAAGACAGGAACACAACCCCACGUAUUAGCAGAGAGGCUGCCUAAAAUCAUACUAAGUUCACAGACACCCCAAAAUACACCACCAGAUAGACAAGAUCCAGUCCCACCCACCAGGACACAGGUACCAGUCCCCUCCACCAGGAAGCCUACACAAGCUACUGAACCAACAUCACCCACUGGGGGCAGGCACCAAAAACAAUGGGAAAGAUGAAGCUGCAGCCUGCGAAAAGGACACCCCAAACACAGUAAGUUAUACAAAAUGAGAAGACAGAGAAAUAUGCAACAGAUGAAGGAGCAAGGUAAAAAUCCACCAGACCAAACAAAUGAAGAGGAAAU